GUGCAUUCUGGGGUCAUUUUGGCUAUUAGCGGCUUGCUUGGCAAUUGGGCUUUGUGGGUUGCUACUAGUUUGGGUGUCUUCGGGGAUGUCUACCGUAAAGGUGCAUGAGUGGUGUUUGGUUUGUUACGGGUGGUUGGCUCUUUGCUUGCGCAACAACUUCCACCUGGCAUACCUCUUCAGUCUUGUGUCAAUGUUUGUUUUGCAUUGAAUGCACGACGGGUUUCUUGUGUUGCAUGCCUAAUUAAUGGUAUCGUUUGAUGAAUUGGUUUCCCUUUUCGUCUUGCGUCGCCUAUGCGAUGUGAGAUGAACCUUGAAGCAGCCUUUGUGAUCCACACUUUUGAUGCAUACGCAUUGAUUUUGUGGCCCAUUAAGUGUUGCUUGGUCUCAUGGAUAUGGAACCUGGUGUGGGCAUGGAAUCGUAAUGGUUCCUUGUUUGCCCAAGUUUAGCUUUUCUAAAACGAUUUGUCUAUCAUGUGUUAGCAUGGUAGACUAUGUCGAAUAUGAAUGCUACCUGGUUGAUCCUGCCAGUAKUCAUAUCC
rnacentral:misc_RNA from 1 species